GGCGGGGGCGGGCCGGAGAGGGGCGGGCUCUGGACCUCGGGUUUUGGCGCUCCUCCGCACCCCGCUGUCUGCCCGUGAAGUUUCAGCCCUGUGUUUAAAGAAUAACCCCAAGCGCGUGGCUUAGUGUGAGCGAACGUGUGUGACGUCGGGAGGCGCCGUGGCUUAACCGAACCGCCCCACUCGACUGUCCCUUGUCUGGACCAAAACUGCUGACUGAUUGACCCUGGCGGUCACAUUUGCCCUCUGGGGUUUUUGGAAACCCUAAAUCAAAGUUGCUUUUCUCCCUGGCAACUCGCACGGCUGCUUCCGCGGCCUCUGGGCCGAGAACAGAUAAGGACGCGAGUUUCCCCGACCAGGUGGACAGCAAAGGGACUCAGCCUGUGUCCAUCCUCCCCACAAACUCCCCUCUCAUCCAGGCUGCCACAUAACAUUGAGCAGGUAACUCAACAGAUUUUAAAUGGGGAAUCCUUUCAACACAAUGGUUGUUUGGUUUUUGUGUUUUUUUUUUUUUUUAAUUUUUGAAGUCAUAGGUUCUGCAAACAUAUCUUUUCCAUUGUUUGAAACCCAGACAUUGCUUUUGCUCAUUAAUUGAUGAUAAAUUGGUUUAUAUUAUUAAGAAGUUACUAAGAAUAUGAAUGACACUUUGUAAUUCUCAAAAGCCAAAGAAUUUUAGCUCACUCUUCUUCAUAGUUCCUAAAUAAUAAAGAGAUCAUGGCACACUUUCCCCUUGUUAUAAACAUCUUUUCACAGGGAUGGAACGGUGAUUAAGGAAUGAACUGUUUCUGCCCCCAUGGAGUUUAAAGUCUGGAGGGAAAUCAGACCUUGAAUAGGCAUUAAUGUACCAGGAAGACAUCACCUCCGUAAGUACUGAAUGCUGUUCUUUAAUAAGCUAAUGAUUAGAAGUGGCCAAAGAGAUAAAUGCACAUAAGAAUAUUUCAAUCUGUGUUGAGUACAGUGGUGAUUGCUUGGCAAUCCUUACUUAAGAAGAUUGGAG
rnacentral:lncRNA from 1 species